GAUAUAUGUAUUGUCUAGUAUGUUAGAGUCAUGCAUGCUAGGUUUAAUUCUCGUCAUGAUAAAUCUAGUUCGGAAUUUAAACUUACAGUUGUCUAUUUUUGCAACAAUCCAAAAACCUUAUUAGAGGCAAUAUGUUGAUUUAACAAUGACUGGUUUCACUGAGUCACUGAGGCCAGAAAAGUUUACUGGCGUGAACUUUAAGAUCUGGAAGUCCAAGGUUCGCCUCUGGUUUACUGCUAUGCACAUCUGGGACAUGAGACUUGGCAAGCCUGAGGGCAUACUUACUACUGAAGAGUAAAAGAAGUACAAUGAGGCCAAUAAUCUCUUUGUCAGAUGUAUCAUUAGCAAUCUAUCAGACGGAUUAGUCCGUGUGUACAUUGAUGAGACAAAGGCGAAGACACUGUGGGAUGCUCUGGUUGCAAAGUAUGAUGCAACAGAUGCGGGCAAUGAACUGUACCUCAUGGAGAGUUUCCUUGACUACAGGAUGGUGAAUAACCGUUCUAUGGUGGAACAGGCGCAUGAGGUGCAGUGCAUUGUCAAAGAUCUUGAUCUCCUUAAGUGUCCUAUUCCCGACAAGUUUGUGGCUGGAUGCAUUAUUGCAAAGUUGCCUUCCCAGUGGAGGAACUUCGCCACAACUCUGAAACACAAGAGAAAGGAGAUAUCAGUUGAAAAUCUGAUAGCGACUCUUGAUGUUGAGGAGAAGGCUCGGAAGAAGGACGUGCCUGAGUAAGGAGAUCAAGGCCAGUCCAGCGUCAACCUGGUCCAAAAGUUCCCACAUGUCAAGGACAAAGGGAAUAACAAGCCUAACAAGACCACUACCUUCAAGAAGAAGAAGAACAAGGCUUUGGAAAAGUGCUAUGCAUGUGGUAAGCUUGGACACUUCUCCAAGGAGUGCCCAGAUCGGGCAGACCGCAGGGCCAAGAAAGCAAAUGAGUCCAAGGAUGUCAACAUGGUGACCAUAAGCAACACUGGAGAUGGACCGUCCAGGACUUCUCCGUGCUGAUGGGGAACGGUUCACAUGCUUCUGUUCAUGGUGUUGGCACGGUAGAUCUGAAGUUUACUUCGGGAAAGAUCGUGCAGUUGAGGAACGUGCAGCAUGUGCCCACUAUCAACAAGAAUCUGGUCAGCGGGUCAGUCCUAUGCAAGGAUGGGUUUAAGGUAGUGUUAGAGUCCAAUAAAUUUGUCAUGUCGAAAUAUGGACAAUUCGUUGGUAAAGGCUAUGAUUGUGGAGGCUUGUUCCGCUUUUCUCUUGCUGAAUUUUGUAAUAAGUUGGUGAACCAUAUUUGUGGCAACGUUAGCGAUGAUGUGAGUGUUUGGCAUUCAUGUU